GGUAGCUCAGUCGGUAGAGCAGCGGACUUUUAAUCCGUUGGUCGCGAGUUCGAAUCUCGCCC
rnacentral:tRNA from 1 species